rnacentral:rRNA from 1 species
CUUGACAUCCAGAGAAUUUAGCAGAGAUGCUUUUAGUGCCUUCGGGAACUCUGAGACAGGUGCUGCAUGGCUGUCGUCAGCUCGUGUUGUAGAAAUGUUGGGUUAACGUCCGCAACGAGCGCAACCCUUAUCCUUUGUUGCCAGCACGUAAUGGUGGGAACUCAAAGGAGACUGCCGGUGAUAAACCGGAGGAAGGUGGGGAUGACGUCAAGUCAUCAUGGCCCUUACGAGUAGGGCUACACACGUGCUACAAUGGCGUAUACAAAGAGAAGCGACCUCGCGAGAGCAAGCGGACCUCAUAAAGUGCGUCGUAGUCCGGAUUGGAGUCUGCAACUCGACUCCAUGAAGUCGGAAUCGCUAGUAAUCGUAAAUCAGAAUGUUACGGUGAAUACGUUCCCGGGCCUUGUACACACCGCCCGUCACACCAUGGGAGUGGGUUGCAAAAGAAGUAGAUAGCUUAACCUUCGGGAGGGCGUUUACCACUUUGUGAUUCAUGACUGGGGUGAAGUCGUAACAAGGUAGGCGUAGUGCU